rnacentral:rRNA from 1 species
UUUAGGUAGCGCCUCGUGAAUUCAUCUCCGGGGGUAGAGCACUGUUUCGGCUAGGGGGCCAUCCCGGCUUACCAACCCGAUGCAAACUGCGAAUACCGGAGAAUGUUAUCACGGGAGACACACGGCGGGUGCUAACGUCCGUCGUGAAGAGGGAAACAACCCAGACCGCCAGCUAAGGUCCCAAAGUCAUGGUUAAGUGGGAAACGAUGUGGGAAGGCCCAGACAGCCAGGAUGUUGGCUUAGAAGCAGCCAUCAUUUAAAGAAAGCGUAAUAGCUCACUGGUCGAGUCGGCCUGCGCGGAAGAUGUAACGGGGCUAAACCAUGCACCGAAGCUGCGGCAGCGACGCUUAUGCGUUGUUGGGUAGGGGAGCGUUCUGUAAGCCUG